GACGAACGCUGGCGGCGUGCUUAACACAUGCAAGUCGAACGGUAAGGCCCUUCGGGGUACACGAGUGGCGAACGGGUGAGUAACACGUGGGUGAUCUGCCCUGCACUUCGGGACAAGCCUGGGAAACUGGGUCUAAUACCGGAUAGGACCACUGCCUGCAUGGGUGGUGGUGGAAAGCUUUUGCGGUGUGGGAUGGGCCCGCGGCCUAUCAGCUUGUUGGGGGGGUGAUGGCCUACCAAGGCGACGACGGGUAGCCGGCCUGAGAGGGUGACCGGCCACACUGGGACUGAGAUACGGCCCAGACUCCUACGGGAGGCAGCAGUGGGGAAUAUUGCACAAUGGGCGCAAGCCUGAUGCAGCGACGCCGCGUGAGGGAUGACGGCCUUCGGGUUGUAAACCUCUUUCAGCACCGACGAAGCGCAAGUGACGGUAGGUGCAGAAGAAGGACCGGCCAACUACGUGCCAGCCGCCGCAGUAA
rnacentral:rRNA from 1 species